rnacentral:misc_RNA from 1 species
UUUUAUUUUUAUUUUUAUUUUUCUUUCCUCUCAUCACAGGAUAGGAUUGGCUCAAUAAAAACAGACUAUAUGUGUAUGACAAUUCACAUUGGGGCCAGAAUUCAAUCAAGAGACAACGAAGAGGAAAAGGAUGUUACAAGAAAUUAGCAGCAAACACCCCAUAAACCUUAAAUAAUCGCAAAUGGGUGGAGUUUAAUCUCUCACUUCACAUGUGACCAACAAAAAUUACUAAACUAGCAUAUAAAAUCAAGAGGAAACAUGUUGAAUGUGUUCAAUAUUAUUUCAACUACUUCAAGAAGAAAAAUUGUAGAAAAUCUUAACAGCAUCAGAAUAUUGCUGUAAAUGCCCAAUAAUUCAUUAUGAUUCCAAUAGUGCGAGAUUUAAAUUCCCAGUUGACAACUAAAAAUAUAAAAUUUAACCAGAGAUGAGCAUGGAAACAACCAUAGAGAAUAUGCCUAAUCCAAAGAUCUCAUGUAUCAUGUUAACUCAAAAUCACAUACCUUGCCCUCAUCAGCAUCUGAAUGGCGUUGUGGGAACACCACCUUCAUAUUGCUAUACAAGUAGAAGCGGCGAUCCCCUUCUAUGUCCACCUUGUUUCCUGUGGGUGCAGAUAAAGGGUCAGAUUUGCACCUUCGGACUGACCUUGGACUUUUCUUGGGAAAAGGGCAUAAAAACCGGAGAUGAAGAGCAUAACGCAGAACACCAGCUCCAGCGGUGUUUUCAUUGGCCUUAGAAGGGCUAUGUACAGAUUUGCUUACAAAUACACUGGUUGAAUUUGGAGGGCUGUUGGUCUCCGCACCAGUAUUUAUACAAUUACUACUGUGGUUGGGAGAUCUUAUUGUAUGUUCAGCAUCAAGUCCCUUUGAGUCUGAAGUCUCCCUCCCACACUUUGAAGAAUGACUACUGUGUGGGAUUGAAGAUUGCUCAACUUCACUUUUCAUGUCAUAAUCUCUGUUCCUCCCAUUCAGUCCAGACGAGGAUAAGGUGAUCUUUUGGCGCAAAAAUGUCUGUUGAAAAAAUGCAUGGGGGAAACAGAAAAGAAGAAACAAAAAAAGUUACUUUGGAAUCUCAACAAGUUUUAGUUAAAUAUCAAACAACGGAAGAAAAUAAAUCAACGUACAGAAAAAAUAUAAGAUGAUUUCAUCUCUUAAUAUGACACUAUUUUUCAAUCAAUGCACUUUAAAUUAUGCAACUGAUCCAUUUCAACAUAGAGAAAACACCUUAAGAAUUUUAUACAUAAUAUCACAUAAAGCAUUUUUGUUGAAUAUUUUAGAUUUUUUUUUCUGAACCAUAACAAUGCCAAAAAAAUUGCAGAGCUCAUAAUGUAUCUAAUGUACAGUCUGACUGAAAAGUUAAAACUAAUACUAACAAGAGAUUCAUUUAGUCAGGUCUCAGCUGCUUGAUUCUUGAUUCCAUAAAUCGUGCAGAUUUCCUUAUACUCUCCCUCCUUAUCAUAAAAGUGCAAUGUCAAAGAUGUUAAAGAAAAUGCUUCUCUUUCACCAGACAGAUUUUUCUCCCCAAGAAAGAAAAUCAUUGUUAAUGAAAGUUAUAGUUUCCAAAUGCGAAGAAUUUUAAUGAAACAAUCAGAUGCAAUGAAUGACAACAUGAUCACAUCAGUGUCAACUCUUAUAGCUGCAGAACAUAUUCCUAAUAAUCAAGCCACAAAGUAAAUUUUCUAAAGUUUUUCAAUGAAACAAAGUUCCACUUACAUAAUUCCAUAACUUUCUCAUUCCAGCUUACCUUGGUACCAGCUGGCAUGUCACUUAAAUCAUAGUUGCAAAAGAAAGUGUGAAUAGGUGUCUUUUCUGGAUUACUAAGAACCUGCAGAAACCAAUCCCAUCUGUCAGUAUUUCCCUAGAGCUAAAGCACCAUUGGAUAAAUAAAUGCAGAUAAAAAUGUAUAGAACAGCUGCUCGUGAAUUUUGUGCCAAAGUUCACCACCAGAUAAGUGUUGCAUAAUUUUCAGUCCCAAUAAAGUUAAAUCCUGCUCCUAGCUUCUUUUUCCCCCUCAUUCCUUUUUUCUUGCAUGCACUUUAGCAUCCUGCUUAAGGGUUUCAAUAUCUCCAACAGAGGCAAGAAGUGACAAAGGCAAAUUCUUUGGUCUUAUACAACUUUCAGUAGAUAAAAUGUAUUGAUUUUCCCUUUGCAAAUUUUGGUUGGGGUGGCAGGAAAACUCACCAGCAUGCAGAGUUAGAGGAAAAGGGAACAAAUUACCAAUUGUAUCCGCCCUUUCACAGGGAUGCGCAUCCUGCUUUGUUCUGCUUGUGAAUCAUUAAUGCUCAGGCUCCUUCUCAUUUUUGUGCCACUGCAUUUUUUUGAUGGCAAAUUCCCUGCUGCUAGAUCUAUUGAUGAAUAGUAUAGCAAAUAGUUAUCUCCAUCUACACUAGUUACUGUAAAGGGAAGUUUCUGUGAUUGUGGCGAGAAAUUCCCUCCAGUGACAUUAAGAACAGCAAGGAAGCCAUCAAUUCUCUAAGUACAAGAAAUGAUAAAAGUAAAAAAAAAGGAAUUAGAAAAAUCACACACACUAGUAAAAUCUAUAAUUCAGUAUUUAUAGAAAACAUGAAAAGCACCUUCUAUCAUAAGAUUCGAGCUAACCUGACAAGCUUUACCAGAUAAUAACCGACCAGAUAACAGGGACUCCUCAAAUGAACCAACCAAGGACCUACGAACAGGAAGGCUACUCAAGCUUCUAAUGAACCUUGCACUCUGGGAAGGAGCCAGCUCGCGAAACAAAGAGCAGCUGUCAGUAGCACCUUCAAGGGAAGACAGACAA